AUGUAAUAAAAAAAUUUUUUAAUUAAACUAUUAACCCAUCACCAAUAUCAAAUAACUUUAUAUAAAUAUAAAAAUUAUUAUGCUAGAAUGAGUAAUAAGAAAAAGAUUUUCUCCAUAAUAUAACUGUAAUGCAAAAUAAACUAAAGCUGCCAAUUACUGUACAUAUAACUAAAGUAGUAACUUCACUAGAAAAUUCUACUUUCCUAAACAUUAACCUAACACAAGAAUAUUACCGGAAAGAUUAAAAAAAUGGGAAGGAACUCGGCAAAUAUAAACCCCGCCUGUUUACCAAAAACAUCGCCUCCUGUUAAAAUAUAAGAGGUCCCGCCUGCCCCGUGAUUUAAUUUAACGGCCGCGGUAUCUUGACCGUGCAAAGGUAGCACAAUCAAUUGUUCUUUAAAUAAGGACUAGUAUGAACGGCACCACGAGGGUUUAACUGUCUCCCCACUUUAAUCAAUGAAAUUGAUCUUCCCGUGAAGAAGCGGGAAAUAUUUAUAUAAGACGAAAAGACCCCAUGGAGCUUUAAACUUAUCAUCAUUUACCAAAACCUAAACACAUAUUCGGCAAACAUGACAUUGAUAGUUUUCGGUUGGGGCGACCCCGGAGAAAAACUAAUCCUCCGGACUGAAUAGAAAAAAAUCUAAUACUAGAGUGACAACUCGAAUAAUCAAAACCUUGACAAAAUGACCCAGAAUUUAUCUGAUCAACGAACCAAGUUACCCUGGGGAUAACAGCGCAAUCCAUUUCAAGAGCCCUUAUCGACAAAUGGGUUUACGACCUCGAUGUUGGAUCGGGAUAUCCUAGCAGCGCAGCCGUUGCUUANGG
rnacentral:rRNA from 1 species